AUUGAACGCUGGCGGAAUGCUUUACACAUGCAAGUCGAACGGCAGCACGGGAGCUUGCUCCUGGUGGCGAGUGGCGAACGGGUGAGUAACAUAUCGGAACGUACCCAGUCGUGGGGGAUAACUAUCCGAAAGGAUAGCUAAUACCGCAUACGUCCUGAGGGAGAAAGCGGGGGAUCGCAAGACCUCGCGCGAUUGUAGCGGCUGAUAUCGGAUUAGCUAUUUGGUGGGGUAAAGGCUCACCAAGGCGACGAUCCGGAGCGGGUCUGAGAGGACGACCCCCCACGCUGGAACUGAGCCACUGUCCCGACUCCUACGGUCGGCAGCAGUGGGGAAUUUUUGACACUGGAGCCAGCCCUGAUCCGGCCAUUCCGCGUGAGUGAAGAAGGCCCUCGUGUUGUAGAGCUCUUUCAGCAGGAGCGCAACGGUCGGCUUUCCUAAAGUCGGCUAAUGACGGUAGCUGCUGCAGAAGCACCGGCUAACUACGUG
rnacentral:rRNA from 1 species